GCUCUCUGCCUUGAUAACACUUCCAUAAGCAAAUCCUCUCUGCCAGGAAGAUUUAUUUACGAUCUAAAAAGGAGAAACAAAAGCCUGUUAAAGACUUGCUGAUAACUUCAAAGAAGAAAACAUUUACAAAGGCCAAAAUGCAUUUGCUCCUGUAGCAUCAAUAUCCUGACAAGGGAAUCGAGUUUUGAGCAGUCAUAUUGCUACUUGCAGAAAAGUAUGAGAAAGAGGUAUGUUUUAAGGACACUUUUCUGAAAAUACUGUCAGAAAUUCAAUACACUAGAGGUGUUAAUGAAGUGUUAGUCCCUCUGCCCAGUGUUUUGCAGCACUGGGUACUUCAGCACUUACCCAUCUGGCACUGGUACAUGUUCCGUGGACUUUGGUUGUGGUCGGAGAAGGGAAUGAGGUUGGCCACCACGCUCAAGAUGCUGUGAGGGAAGAGUUCCUGGUGAGUGGUCACUCCAGGCACCACCUCUGAGUCCAUUGUGGCCACGUUCAUGAAAAUCUGUGAACAUCAAAUUGGAUAAUGCUUGUUCACUUCCUGCUUUUAAAGGGAAGGAAACAAAACAAAGCUGUUUCCAAUAGUUUUCUGUUCAUUUCAGUUUUAGCUUUGGUUGUUGCCUGCAUUGUAGUUGUAUUAGCAAGACAAAUCAGACAGCUGGUAAACCACCUAUCACAGAUCAAGUGCAUGGGAAGGAAGCCUGAAAUACAAAACUGCAGUAACGUGUCCUCCUUUCUGUCUCCCACUUUAAUAGUUCCACGUGCAUGAGCUCCCAACAAUCCACUGCCUGGCUGCCCAGGAGCCAUUUGGCAAACAUGAUGUAACACAAGGUGACAUGGUACACACAACACAGCAAUCCUUCACCUCAAAUCUUCACAAAGUUAAUACCGAGAGCAGAUCCGAAGAUCUCAAAAAGAUCUCUACAGUCCAGCAAUGACAUUUAACACAAAUCAAUUUGCAGGAGUGAAAACCCCCUUUCAUCAUGUAUUCUAGCUCUUCAACACAAGUCUCAUCCUCAGCUCCUUUCAUAAAUGUUUACCAAACCCAAUUUUGAUGCCAGGUACCUCUGUACCAUGGGAAUGUGCAAACCCCACCUGUUCCAGGGUCCCAAUCCAUUCAUUCUUUCCAUAGGACAGGUUUCUGACCGGCCGCACCAUCCGGCAAGGGUUAGUGAAAAUGAAGAGCCCAGGAUACAGGCUGGGUUUUCCUGUCAUUGGGAUAAGGACCACUUCUGCCCGUGCAGGAAAUCUCUUCUCUUGUGUUAUCUGUUGGUGCAAAGAAAUAACAAUCUAGAAACACAAACCAAGUUUAACUAAACUGCAUCCACCUGGUCACACAAUGAUAAUGUCAGCCACAGGUGUAGCCACUAAUAAAAAGUUAUGGAGAAGAGUUCUUAGAAAUACUUUUAGAAAAACUUCCACCAAAAAAAAAAAAAGAAUAUGUCUUAUCUUGCCUUUUCCAAGAAAAUGUUCUUUCAAAAACUAACUUCAUAAACCAACAGAUGAAACACAUAGAUUAAUAAAAAAGGUAACACAACAGCACACUCUAAUACGAACAUACAGCCAAAGAUAAAAUUACUGGGUCAGAUUAAAAAAAAAAAAGGAAGCGUAAGAAGUUCCAAACAUUCC